rnacentral:rRNA from 1 species
UCACUNCAACCAUGUGACGUUACCAAACUGUUGCCUCGGCGGGGUCACGCCCCGGGAGNGANNAAGCCCCGGAACCAGGCGCCCGCCGGAGGAACCAACCAAACUCUUUCUGUAGUCCCCUCGCGGACGUAUUUCUUACAGCUCUGAGCAAAAAUUCAAAAUGAAUCAAAACUUUCAACAACGGAUCUCUUGGUUCUGGCAUCGAUGAAGAACGCAGCGAAAUGCGAUAAGUAAUGUGAAUUGCAGAAUUCAGUGAAUCAUCGAAUCUUUGAACGCACAUUGCGCCCGCCAGUAUUCUGGCGGGCAUGCCUGUCCGAGCGUCAUUUCAACCCUCGAACCCCUCCGGGGGAUCGGCGUUGGGGAUCGGGACCCCUCACCGGGUGCCGGCCCUGAAAUACAGUGGCGGUCUCGCCGCAGCCUCUCCUGCGCAGUAGUUUGCACAACUCGCACCGGGAGCGCGGCGCGUCCACGUCCGUAAAACACCCAACUUCUGAAAUGUUGACCUCGGAUCAGGUAGGAAUACCCGCUGAACUUAAGCAUAUCAAUA